rnacentral:misc_RNA from 1 species
UGUGGGAGCGGGCUUGCUCGCGAAAGCGGUAUGUCAGUUAACAACUAUGUCGACUGAUCCACCGCUUUCGCGAGCAAGCCCGCUCCCACA